CCAUAUUCCAAGUAUAUAAAACCUUCGUUUCGAUUGGUUGAUUACUUGCUUCGCGUUUUGGUGCAUCGUAUUGUUCGUGGGUGCUGAUUCGUCAAAGUUCGAUAUUUUCAUCUCCUUUAGCGCGGCAACGCGCGUUAACUGGAGUAGCCGCACGGAAAAAGCUAAUCCAAGACACACUUUACGCGCGUAACCGCGCGAAGUUGUUUUCUAAUGGUUCGCUUCCCGUCGCGUUCAGUGUGCCACCGCCUUUCGGAUGAGAGCUCUUUCCUGUUUGAAGGUGUACGAAUGGCCGUGAUGAACUCGCCGUGUUUCUGGUGUGGUAUGGAUGGAGGUGACAGUGUGGUGCUGAUACCUGUGAUGACAUCACACCUAUAUAUUGAGAUGCAAGUUGUUUCUUCUUUGGAGAUGGGAUCAGAGAAUAUUGGUUUCACCAAUAAAAUUAGUUUUAUC
rnacentral:lncRNA from 1 species